UACGUAGGGUGCAAGCGUUAAUCGGAAUUACUGGGCGUAAAGCGUGCGCAGGCGGUUUUGUAAGCCAGAUGUGAAAGCCCCGGGCUCAACCUGGGAACUGCAUUUGGGACUGCAAGGCUGGAGUACGGCAGAGGGAGGUGGAAUUCCACGUGUAGCAGUGAAAUGCGUAGAGAUGUGGAGGAACACCGAUGGCGAAGGCAGCCUCCUGGGCUAGUACUGACGCUCAUGCACGAAAGCGUGGGGAGCAAACAGG
rnacentral:rRNA from 1 species